AUCUACAGACAAACCACCCUGAACACGCCUAAUCUUGUCUUAUCUCGGAAGCAGGGUCGGGCCUGGUUAGUACUUGGAUGGGAGACCAUCUGGAAAUACUGGGUGCUGUAGGCU
rnacentral:rRNA from 1 species